GAUGAACGCUAGCGGCAGGCCUAAUACAUGCAAGCCGAACGGCAAGUUUGAUAUCAAUAUUGGACCUAGAGUGGCGCAAGGGUGCGUAACACGUAUGCAACCUGCCCGCGACAGGAGGAUAGCUCCCCGAAAGGGGAAUUAACCCUCCAUAACACCAUGAGAAGGCAUCUGAUUAUGGUUAAACCGCAAGGGGUCGCGGAUGGGCAUGCGGUUGCUUAGCGAGUUGGCGGGGUAAAGGCCCACCAAGGCUGUGAUCAAUAGGGGUUCUGAAAGGAAGGUCCGCCAGACUGGAACUGAGAUAAGGGCGAGACUCCUACGGGAGGCAGCAGUAGAGAAUAGUGGACAGUGGGUGAAAGACCGAAACAGGCAUGCCGCGGGCAGGACGAAGGCGUUCUGGGUCGUAAACUGCUUUUGCCUGUGGAUAAAAUACCCGUGCGCGGAGAAUUGAAGGUAACAGGGGAAUAAGCCACGGCUAACUACGUG
rnacentral:rRNA from 1 species